AACACAUGCAAGUCGAGGGAGGAGCUUUCGGGCUUCGACCGGCGUACGGGUGCGUAACGCCUAUACAAUCUGCCUUUCACAUAGGGAUAGCCCGAAGAAAUUUGGAUUAAUACCUAAUGGUAUAUAGAUGUGGCAUCACCUUUAUAUUAAAGCUGAGGCGGUGAAAGAUGAGUAUGCGUUCUAUUAGCUAGUUGGAGAGGUAACGGCUCCCCAAGGCUACGAUAGAUAGGGGUUCUGAGAGGGAUAUCCCCCACACCGGGUACUGAGAUACGGACCAGACUCCUACGGGAGGCAGCAGUGAGGAAUAUUGGACAAUGGUCGGAAGACUGAUCCAGCCAUGCCGCGUGCAGGAAGACGGCCUUAUGGGUUGUAAACUGCUUUUGCAGGGGAAGAAUAAGGACUACGAGUAGUUUGAUGACGGUACUCUGCGAAUAAGCAUCGGCUAACUCCGUGCCAGCAGCCGCGGUAAUACGGAGGAUGCGAGCGUUAUCCGGAAUCAUUGGGUUUAAAGGGUCCGUAGGCGGGCUAAUAAGUCAGAGGUGAAAGCGCUCAGCUCAACUGAGCAACUGCCUUUGAAACUGUUAGUCUUGAAUGGUUGUGAAGUAGUUGGAAUGUGUAGUGUAGCGGUGAAAUGCUUAGAUAUUACACAGAACACCGAUAGCGAAGGCAUAUUACUAACAAUUAAUUGACGCUGAUGGACGAAAGCGUGGGGAGCGAACAGGAUUAGAUACCCUGGUAGUCCACGCUGUAAACGAUGGAUACUAGCUGUUUGGUUGUAAGACUGAGUGGCU
rnacentral:rRNA from 1 species